UGUGACCGAAGGAGUUUAGCCUAUUUUAAUUUUGGCUCCUGCCUACUGCCAAGUCGUGUAGGUCUAAUAUGUUACAAUGCUUCAAGAGCCAGUGAAUAUGACAAAUCCAGAGCAGCAUGGAUAGACUUAAAUGAACCGAUGCAGAUAAAGUAAGUAAAAUCAAGAAAACAAUAUAGUACAGCAACGUAGAUGGAAAGAAUAGGAACAAAUUAACUCAAAGUGAAUAUUUCAGAAUUAGAGGGAAAAAAACUGAGCAUGGCCCCAAAGAACUAUGAGAAGAUAACUCCCCACUCAUUUGCAGAGACUAGAGGUCCACAGGAAGCUAAGGGCUUUUCAGGUGGAUGUUUGCAACCUGAAGAAGUGAUGGGGUCUCACAGAUAUGGCUUAUUCAUGAUUAAGGAGAUGAAUCAUAAUGGUAGAACAUGAAGAAAACCCACACUGUGUUCUCAUAGGAUGAAAACAACUUGAAGACCUUGACAAAAACUACAUAAAUUGGAAUAAGGAAAAGUUGGAUUUAUUUCUGCACUGCUGACAGAGGAUAUAGCCACCAUAACCCGAUGAGAAGAUGAAGAAAGCACUUC